rnacentral:rRNA from 1 species
GUGCCAGCCGCCGCGGUAAUUCCAGCUCCAAUAGCGUAUAUUAAAGUUGUUGUGGUUAAAAAGCUCGUAGUUGAACCUUGGGCCUGGCUGGCCGGUCCGCCUCACCGCGUGCACUGGUCCGGCCGGGCCUUUCCCUCUGUGGAACCCCAUACCCUUCACUGGGCGUGGCGGGGAAACAGGACAUUUACUUUGAAAAAAUUAGAGUGCUCCAGGCAGGCCUAUGCUCGAAUACAUUAGCAUGGAAUAAUAAAAUAGGACGCGCGGUUCUAUUUUGUUGGUUUAUAGGACCGCCGUAAUGAUUAAUAGGGACAGUCGGGGGCAUCAGUAUUCAACUGUCAGAGGUGAAAUUCUUGGAUCAGUUGAAGACUAACUACUGCGAAAGCAUUUGCCAAGGAUGUUUUCAUUAACCAGGAACGAAAGUUAGGGGAUCGAAGACGAUCAGAUACCGUCGUAGUCUUAACCAUAAACUAUGCCGACUAGGGAUCGGACGGUGUUAUUCAUGACCCGUUCGGCACCUUACGAGAAAUCAAAGUGCUUGGGCUCCAGGGGGAGUAUGGUCGCAAGGCUGAAACUUAAAGAAAUUGACGGAAGGGCACCACCAGGGGUGGAGCCUGCGGCUUAAUUUGACUCAACACGGGGAAACUCACCAGGUCCAGACACAAUAAGGAUUGACAGAUUGAGAGCUCUUUCUUGAUUUUGUGGGUGGUGGUGCAUGGCCGUUCUUAGUUGGUGGGGUGACUUGUCUGCUUAAUUGCGAUAACGAACGAGACCUUAACCUGCUAAAUAGCCCGCAUUGCUCCGGCAGUGCGCUGGCUUCUUAGAGGGACUUUC